rnacentral:lncRNA from 1 species
GGAUUACAAAUCUGUAUGGAGCAGUGGGGACUUGGUGCUUUCUCUUUCUCACAGAGGUUUACAUAUAUAACAUACAUAUCAGCAAAUACAGCAAAAUGUAAUUCUGUUUUCGAGGUCAGGCCUGUUACAGGAGCUGCUGUUUUCCAGGUUGCUGUUACUUUGUUUUCCUGGAAGACUUGGGUAGUAUAUGAGUCAACAUCCAGUUGUUAUUGACAUUUUGUGCCUUUUAAAUAGGAAGUGUGUGGUGCAGGCUUUAUAUGUAUCAAUUGGUAUAUCCAACAGAAACAAAGCAGAAAUUGUUUAACUGUAAGAUAUUGUGAAUGUGCUGUCUAAUGAGAUUACAAGUGCAAGCUAGUAUACGUUCAUGAAAGUAGAGGAAUUCAGAGACAGAAGUUCAGAAGCAGAGGCAUCUGUGUAUCUCUUUCCUAGAUAGCCUUUUCUUCUAGACAUUUAUUCUUGAAAUUGAAUGUAAAAGUGUGUUCUUCAUUCUGCAAUCUGUAGUUCACUGUGAUACUCUCCUAAAGAUGCUCAAUGUCACUACACGAUGUUUUGUUGUUUAAGACCACAAAGACUUAUGUGGUUAUGUGCCAAAAGCAGCUGAGUUACAUGAGAUGUAAGAAAAAAAAGGAAAGCUUACAAAAGAGGGUGGGAUACGAUUUCUCAAUUUCUAUGUAAGAUGUUUAAGUGCAUCUCCAAGCAGUGCAAGUGUGAACUUCUGCUGCAAUCAAUACACAAACAACAUGCCAUGAUAAUAAAAAAGACAUUGUGUUUUUCU